AGGGCACCACCAGGAGUGGAGCCUGCGGCUUAAUUUGACUCAACACGGGGAAACUCACCCGGCCCGGACACCGGAAGGAUUGACAGAUUGAUAGCUCUUUCUUGGUUCGGUGGAUGGUGGUGCAUGGCCGUUCUUAGUUGGUGGAGCGAUCCGUCUGGUUAAUUCCGAUAACGAACGAGACUCUAGCCUAUUAAAUAGACGUCGGGUUCUCUGCACUCGACGGUCUUCUUAGAGGGACAAGGUGCUUUUAGCACCGCGAAACAGAGCAAUAACAGGUCUGUGAUGCCCUUAGAUGUCCGGGGCCGCACGCGCGCUACACAGAAGGAAGCAGCGUGUAACAACCUUGUUCUAACGAACUGGGUAACCCGUGGAACUUCCUUCAUGAUUGGGAUAGGGGUUUGCAAUUGUGCCCCUUGAACGAGGAAUUCCCAGUAAACACUAGUCAUCAGCUAGUGCUGAUUACGUCCCUGCCCUUUGUACACACCGCCCGUCGCUACUACCGAUUGAAUGGUUUAGUGA
rnacentral:rRNA from 1 species